rnacentral:tRNA from 1 species
GGGUGACUGUGGCUUAGCAGUAGAGUAUCUGUUUGCCAUGCAGAAGGUUGUGGGUUCAAUCCCUGCCAUAUCCA